UGCCAGUGUGUGUAUCUGUGUGUGUGUAUGUAUCUGACACACAGAUACACACACACACACACACACACACUGGCACA
rnacentral:miRNA from 1 species